GUCAUCAGAGGGUGAAGUGUGAUUACUGCAAAAAAUAAAUGCGACGAGAAGAGUUUGCGAAUCAUACAAAGGUUAAACAUAAGGUUUUCAUACAAACCUUAUGACUACAGCAUCGUUUGGAGGACGAUAAAAAAAGGAGCUACUGUGAACUGUUUAGAAAAGAGACACUGAACUCAUGUGGGGCCAAACACAUCUGGAUUAAUGUUUGAUAGCUUUGCAAGGUAAGCAUUAACUAUUACCAUUUAGUUCAGAUCCAGAACGAAGAUCUGUCUGAUACAGUAUGUUUCAUAAUGGUGCAGCUUUAGGAAAGAAAUUAUGAAACAAAAACGUACAGAGAUAUCUAUGUUUUUCCAUGUAGUAGUGUGGCAAUGUGCCCCGCCCCUGUGUGCAUAUUAUGUGUUGUAUGUUGCGUGCGUGUGUUAAUGUUGGUGUAUAGAUUGGUACACGGGAUAUAAACGGGUCUGUGUUUCACGUGUGAUUUAAAAAGGUAGAUUUAUAUUUAGGCACGAGGAGGGCACAAAUCACUUCACGUGCUGGUUAAAUGUAAUAUGUGAGCACGCGGUUGCACAGAAUUAAUUCACGUGCUGGGAUUCAAGUGAAUAAUUAAUUAGUAAUUAAUCCCAGCACAACAGUAUAUAUAGAGACACGUUUCUUUCACUCAGGGUUGGGUGUUCGGUGAGUGGAGAACGGGAUUGGAGACGGAGGUAAUUGUGAAUUGUGAAAGUAAAUAGUUAAAAGUAUCUGCUCUCCGUGUUUGUUUGUCUGUCUAGUGCGUUUUUAUUCGUCUAUUUAUUUUGGGCUCAAGUGCCGUGCCCUGUGUUUUGUCUGUUCCAACCUUUUAUUUUCUGUUCUGUUUAUUAAAUGCUGAGCGAAAGCAUUCGCUCAGCUUCACCAAACCACACC